rnacentral:rRNA from 1 species
CGGGUGAGUAACACGUGGAUAACCUACCUAUAAGACUGGGAUAACCUCGGGAAACCGGAGCUAAUACCGGAUAAUAUUUUGAACCGCAUGGUUCAAAAGUGAAAGACGGUCUUGCUGUCACUUAUAGAUGGAUCCGCGCUGCAUUAGCUAGUUGGUAAGGUAACGGCUUACCAAGGCAACGAUGCAUAGCCGACCUGAGAGGGUGAUCGGCCACACUGGAACUGAGACACGGUCCAG